AAUAUAAGCGGAUGAUAAAUUUAAAAUUAGCGUCCGAUAAACGACAGAUGCAAAUUAGCGUCCGCUAGAUGAGAUUUAGCGUCCGUUCUUUUAAACGGACGCUAAUUAGCAUCCGUUUACUUAAUAUACCGUCCGAAGGACGGACGUUAAGUAACAGGUAUAAAUUAAAAAAAAGUACCUCUAGUCGACCAAAUUAUCAACCCUAACACACGCCUCUCUCUUCCUCACUCUCAUCUCACGUUUGUCUCUCUUCCUCACUCUCAUCUCACAUUUUGUGCUCUCUCUUUCUUUCAGAUCUCACAAAUCAGAGUAUUCCUGAAAUAUCUUAUCAGAUAUGGGUUGUUAUCGUUCAACUGAAUUCAAGAACACUUUGCACCCUUUUUCAGAUCCUUUCUUCAUGCUUCUGCUAACUGUCACAAAGCUAAACAGAAGCAGAAGGAAGCAAAGAGGAUGUUGUUGCCAAGUGUAGAGGGGAAAGAAAGUGGCAAUUGAUCGUUGUCGAUUCUGGUUCAGUGAUUGUUCAUGCUUUAGAUGAGAAAGCCAGAGCUUAUUACGAUUUAGAAAGUCGUUGGUCAGGGAAGAAGCCACCUGCUGACUUAAGCCAGGCAGUGCAACCAACAGAAGAAAUGAUUCACGAGGAGAAAGAAGAGAAGAAUUUCAGCAAAGGAAGCUUAGUUGAAGUGAGUUUUGAGGGUGCUUGGUUCACUGCAACUGUUCUUGAGGUGAUUGGGAUCUAAAAACAGAAGAUGACAAAGAGUUUGUAAGAGAAGAGGCUGAUGCCCUGCACAUCAGACCGCAUCCUCCAAAGGCAGGAAAAGUCGACACGUUCAAGCAGUUUGAAGAAGUUGAUGCUCUUUAUAAUGAUGGGUGGUGGGUGGACUGCAUUUCUGAAGUCCUUGGUGACUCAAAAUAUUUAGUUUUGUUCCAGAUUUUUUUGUUGUGGAGUUUAAAUUAGUGUACAUGUAAUUAUAUGAGAUUUGUAUUAGAUUUUGUUCUAAGUAUACUAGAACUUAGUUAUAGAAUUAUUCUUUCACUUGUAUCUACAUUUAUUAUCAAUAAUAAUUGAAUUGAUUAAUUUGUUUGCCUUAAUAAAGAA